AUGCCGCGUGCAGGAAGACUGCCCUAUGGGUUGUAAACUGCUUUUAUACAGGAAGAAUAAGCCUUACGUGUAAGGUGAUGACGGUACUGUAAGAAUAAGGACCGGCUAACUCCGUGCCAGCAGCCGCGGUAAUACGGAGGGUCCGAGCGUUAUCCGGAAUUAUUGGGUUUAAAGGGUCCGUAGGCGGAUGAUUAAGUCAGGGGUGAAAGUUUGCAGCUCAACUGUAAAAUUGCCUUUGAUACUGGUCAUCUUGAGUUGUAUUGAAGUAGGCGGAAUAUGUAGUGUAGCGGUGAAAUGCAUAGAUAUUACAUAGAACACCAAUUGCGAAGGCAGCUUACUAAGUACUAACUGACGCUGAUGGACGAAAGCGUGGGUAGCGAACAGGAUUAGAUACCCUGGUAGUCCACGCCGUAAACGAUGGAUACUAGCUGUUCGGGGCCUUGAGCUCUGAGCGGCUAAGCGAAAGUGAUAAGUAUCCCACCUGGGGAGUACGUUCGCAAGAAUGAAACUCAAAGGAAUUGACGGGGGCCCGCACAAGCGGUGGAGCAUGUGGUUUAAUUCGAUGAUACGCGAGGAACCUUACCAGGGCUUAAAUGUAGUCUGACAGCUUUAGAGAUAGAGUUUUCUUCGGACAGAUUACAAGGUGCUGCAUGGUUGUCGUCANCUCGUGCCGUGAGGUGUCAGGUUAAGUCCUAUAACGAGCGCANCCCCUGUCGUUAGUUGCCAGCAUGUCAUGAUGGGGACUCUAACNAGACUGCCGGUGCAAACCGCGAGGAAGGUGGGGAUGACGUCAAAUCAUCACGGCCCUUACGUCCUGGGCCACACACGUGCUACAAUGGCCGGUACAGAGA
rnacentral:rRNA from 1 species